CGGCGUCGGACGCUCCUGCUCCCCUGCCCGACUCUCGGCUGCGGCCGCCGUCGCCCCGGCCGUCGAAGUGGUGGGGCAGCGGGCCUCUCUUAUGCUCGGGCUUGAUCUCGGGCAGCAGCGAGCUGCUCUUGACGGAAGUUUGGCAGAGGCCGAUUUGGUGGGACUCUCUAGCCCGUUCCUGGUGUUCCUUCUCCUUCCAGCCGUAAAAAGAGUGCCAAGUUUCCCCAACACUGGCUUCCUUCUGCUGUCUUCUGGUGGUUGUGCUCUGGACUGGAAAAUAAGAGGACAGGGAGAGAAAACAUGAGAAUCCGUUUUGUUCCCCUUUGGUAUGUUACAAAACUGCUGGGAACCAACCUGGCAAUGGACCUGGUGUAGCUGAAAAUAAAAAGGUAGAGCUAGGCGUGGUGGCGAACGACUGUCUGGUCUUGAUUAUGUUCUA